AACGAACGCUGGCGGCAUGCCUAACACAUGCAAGUCGAACGAGACCUUCGGGUCUAGUGGCGCACGGGUGCGUAACGCGUGGGAACCUGCCUUUAGGUUCGGAAUAACUCAGAGAAAUUUGAGCUAAUACCGGAUAAUGUCUUCGGACCAAAGAUUUAUCGCCUUUAGAUGGGCCCGCGUUGGAUUAGCUAGUUGGUGGGGUAAAGGCCUACCAAGGCGACGAUCCAUAGCUGGUCUGAGAGGAUGAUCAGCCACACUGGGACUGAGACACGGCCCAGACUCCUACGGGAGGCAGCAGUGGGGAAUAUUGGACAAUGGGCGAAAGCCUGAUCCAGCCAUGCCGCGUGUGUGAAGAAGGUCUUCGGGACUUGUAAAGGACACUUUAAGUUUGGGAGGAAGGGUAGUAACCUAAUACG
rnacentral:rRNA from 1 species